rnacentral:rRNA from 1 species
AUUGAACGCUGGCGGCAGGCCUAACACAUGCAAGUCGAGCGGGGUUUUCGGACCUAGCGGCGGACGGGUGAGUAAUGCGUAGGAAGCUACCCGAUAGAGGGGGAUACCAGUUGGAAACGACUGUUAAUACCGCAUAAUGUCUACGGACCAAAGUGUGGGACCUUCGGGCCACAUGCUAUCGGAUGCGCCUACGUGGGAUUAGCUAGUUGGUGAGGUAAUGGCUCACCAAGGCGACGAUCCCUAGCUGGUUUGAGAGGAUGAUCAGCCACACUGGAACUGAGACACGGUCCAGGCUCCUACGGGAGGCAGCAGGGGGGAAUAUUGGACAAUGGGCGCAAGCCUGAUCCAGCCAUGCCGCGUGUGUGAAGAAGGCCUUCGGGUUGUAAAGCACUUUCAGUAGGGAGGAAGCGUUGUGUGUUAAUAGUACACAGCGUUGACGUUACCUACAGAAGAAGCACCGGCUAACUCUGUGCCAGCCGCCGCGGUAAUAC